GAACCUACGGGACGCAGCAGUGGGGAAUAUUGCACAAUGGCGAAAGCCUGAUGCAGCGACGCCGCGUGAAGGAUGAAGUAUUUUGGUAUGUAAACUUCUAUCAGCAGGGAAGAAAAUGACGGUACCUGACUAAGAAGCCCCGGCUAACUACGUGCCAGCAGCCGCGGUAAUACGUAGGGGGCAAGCGUUAUCCGGAUUUACUGGGUGUAAAGGGAGCGUAGACGGCGAUGCAAGCCAGAUGUGAAAUCCCGGGGCUCAACUCCGGGACUGCAUUUGGAACUGUUUGGCUGGAGUGUCGGAGAGGG
rnacentral:rRNA from 1 species